rnacentral:rRNA from 1 species
GACGAACGCUGGCGGCGUGCUUAACACAUGCAAGUCGAACGGAAAGGCCCUGCUUUUGUGGGGUGCUCGAGUGGCGAACGGGUGAGUAACACGUGAGUAACCUGCCCUUGACUUUGGGAUAACUUCAGGAAACUGGGGCUAAUACCGGAUAUGAGCUCCUUCUGCAUGGUGUGGGUUGGUAAGUUUCGGCGGUUGGGGAUGGACUCGCGGCUUAUCAGCUUGUUGGUGGGGUAGUGGCUUACCAAGGCUUUGACGGGUAGCCGGCCUGAGAGGGUGACCGGCCACAUUGGGACUGAGAUACGGCCCAGACUCCUACGGGAGGCAGCAGUGGGGAAUAUUGCACAAUGGGCGGAAGCCUGAUGCAGCAACGCCGCGUGCGGGAUGACGGCCUUCGGGUUGUAAACCGGUUUAGCCUGUGACGAAGCGUGAGUGACGGUAAUGGGUAAAGAAGCAACGGCUAACUACGUG